rnacentral:rRNA from 1 species
UACGGAGGGAGCUAGCGUUGUUCGGAUAUACUGGGCGUAAAGCGCACGUAGGCGGCGCCGUAAGUCAGGGGUGAAAUCCCGGAGCUCAACUCCGGAACUGCCCUUGAAACUGCAGUGCUAGAAUCCUGGAGAGGCGAGUGGAAUUCCGAGUGUAGAGGUGAAAUUCGUAGAUAUUCGGAAGAACACCAGUGGCGAAGGCGACUCGCCGGACAGGUAUUGACGCUGAGGUGCGAAAGCGUGGGGAGCAAACAGG